rnacentral:rRNA from 1 species
UACGUAGGUGGCAAGCGUUGUCCGGAAUUAUUGGGCGUAAAGCGCGCGCAGGCGGUCCUUUAAGUCUGAUGUGAAAGCCCGGGGCUCACCCCCGGAAGGGCAUUGGAAACUGGCGGACUCGAGUCCCGGAGAGGAGGGUGGAAUUCCUGGUGUAGCGGUGAAAUGCGUAGAUAUCAGGAGGAACACCGGUGGCGAAGGCGGCCCUCUGGACGGUGACUGACGCUGAGACGCGAAAGCGUGGGGAGCAAACGGG